rnacentral:rRNA from 1 species
UCGUGGAUCGAUCUGUCUACCUAAUCGUGAUAACGAACGAGACGCCUACCAAUAUCUAGACACGCUAGUAGACAGGGGGUAACUCUCUGGAUGCUAUGCGGCUGAUUUUAGCUUCAUAUUGGGACAAUCGGCGUUAAGCCGAGUGAAGAGGCGCAAUAACA